rnacentral:piRNA from 1 species
UUCCAGAGGUUGUGAGUUCAAUUCC